AGCUUUGAACUGGUAAUAUCAUAACCAACGAGGUUUAUCUGAGGUACGAUUAUUGCUAAUUGGAAAGAAUUUUCUAGGCUCUGCUUGAGCACUUUUCGUGUUCUCCCAGCCAUCUGAAACGUCCUUGUUUUCCAGAUGAGGAA
ensembl:snRNA U4 U4 spliceosomal RNA